GUAAUAGAAAUAGAUUCAACCUUGUAUUCUCCAAUUCUUUAAAUAAACUCAAAAUUUAACCUUAGAAUUAAUGUAACACAGUUUUUCUUUUUCAUUGUGAACUACAUAUUUUUUAAAAGAAAUUUGGCGUAAACUAAUAUUUUUAUGAUCGUACAAACUGAUCGUUCAAAAAUCAAGUCCUGGCAUGGACUUUUUUUUAAUAAUAUCUUCCAAUAUUUGACAAGAAUUAUUUUUCGAAACAAAGUUAGUUUCUGCAAAGAAAUUGUGCGGAUUGGACUAAUGUGCCAUGUAAAUUAUUUCUUUUCGCCUUAUUUGGUCAUAAAGCUUAGUAUGCAGCUCUAAAGAAAUCUAGUACAUUUUUUUAAUAAAUAUGGCAAACGUGGUUUCUACGUCGUAUUCUUAUUGGCUAGCAGCUACGGGCUAGAACUGUCAAGCUAGGAUGAUUCAUAUCAUAACUUGAGUGAUCUUGCGUUAUCUCAUUUUUCUGUUGACAGUGGAUUAGUGCACACCUAUACAGAUUCGAAGUCUUGAGACAAUAGAUUUGCAAAACGUUUAUUAACCACGCGUAAUUAGUGUCAAAGCCAGUUGAAAUUUUAAAAAAUGAGACGAAAUAGCGGCCAACGCAACCAUAAUCGCGAAGAAAAUAAAAAACUCGCUAACUUGGUAAAUCAGCUUCCACAGCUGUACGACAGGGAUCAUGUCCUUUAUGGUAAAAUAAAUGCUGUAGAAAAAGCUUGGAAAAAAAUAGCAAAAAUGUGGCAAAAGCCAGUGCCUGAAUGCAAGAGACGUUGGCGAAAUAUACGAGCCGCCUACGCACGCUCCAUUCACGCCUACAAAACUAAGCAUGGGCGGAAACCUCUUAUGGAGUACUAUUUAGCAAAGGAAAUGAAGUUUUUAAAACCCCAUCUACCAAAAGAAGUGGCUGCAAUUGACACAGCAAGAGACGAACCUAUACUAACUGAACACGCAUCUGAAGCAGCGCAAAAUAAUGGCCAAAAUAAUGAGAAUAAUAACUCUGAAGCUAUCGCAAACGAAAACAACGUUCAUGAUAUGAAUAAUGCACACACUCAUGAAACUUUUGCCAACGUGUUCUUUGCAUUCAUUCUACCGCCACUAGUGGUUAUCAUCGAGCAGUAAUCAGAGUAAUCGCUAUGACCCUUUCAAGUAUUACAUAUACAUAUAUGUGUAACAUUGAAAUUUAACUGUAUUGACAGUUAACACCAACAAUAAACGUACACAAGCCUCCAAAUAUAGCAUAAAGUUCGUCAGUGCGUAUAAAUAACCUCAGCGGAGAAACUCACCAGCGUUGGCCAGCUUUACAUCGAAUCCAAUUUAGUUGGUAAUUUCGUCAUAUUUUAAGCAUUAUGAGUUAACAUCAGGCAACAACAAAAACAAACCACGCAAUUGUGAA